rnacentral:lncRNA from 13 species
AUGACACUGCUUUACUUGGAGGAUGCAUUCAGAUUCAUUUUCUGUGUGGCACUAUUCAUUUUGAAAUUCUUAUUUGAUUCCAUAUACACUGACCCCAUCCUUAUACUGCAAGGCACUGUUAAAAUAGCCUGCAUACUCAAUAAAUGGCUUCUGUACAACAGCUUAUUAGAAAAAAAACACCCUGAUUCAACAAACACAAAAUUACAUCUUCAUAAAUGCAAUCAGAAGAAAACAACAGAGGAAACAGAGAAGAAUCACAGGAACUGUACAUGCUGCUCGUUGAAGGUUCUUUUUAUAGAUUAUUGCCAAUCUUGAAAUUGACUAUAUUAGUCCAUUUUCAUGCUGUUGAUAAAGACAUACUUGAGACAGGGAAGAAAAAGAGUUUUCAUGGACUCCCAGUUCCACAUGACUGGGGAGGCCUCACUACCAUGGCAGAAGACAAGAAGGAGCAAGUCACAUCUUACAUGGAUGGCAGCAGGCAAAAAGAGGGCUUGUGCAGGUAAACUACCUUUUAUAAAACCAUCAGAUCUCAUGAGACUUAUUCAUUAUCAGGCUAAUAGCAUGGGAAAGACCUGCCCUCAUUACUUAAUUACUUCCCACCAGGUCCCUCAACAACAUGUGGGAAUUAAAAAUGAGAUUUGAGUAGGGACACAGCCAAACCAUAUCAUUGACCUUGAUAUUCAGCUCCUAUGUUGAAAAGGAAAUGGACAUCUAGACUAACUGGACAUCUAGACAAACACACAUGUAAGUGGCAAAGCUGGGACACCAAGCUAGAUAGGCUCAACUCAAAAGCAUAUGCUUUUUGGCUUAAUGAAUCCUGUGCCUCUAGUCACAAUAGCUAAAUUUGUUCUGAUUUCAUCCACAUUUACAGUGGUCCUUACAAUAUGUGUGCCACUUUAUUUUCUCAGUAGACUAGGAAGAUAGAGUUCUAGAAGGCAUUACUUCUGGCCUAAGUGAGAUCAUAUCAAAAUCAGGAAAAUAAAGAAGGAGGAUGUGUGUAUCGGUAUGUGUAU